GAUAAACGCUGGCGGCGUGCCUAAUACAUGCAAGUCGAUCGAUGGAUGCCCAGCUUGCUGGGAGGAAAUAGAGGCGAACGGGUGAGUAAUGCGUAAGCAACCUGCCCACGAAGACCGGGAUAAUCCCUGGAAACGGGGACUAAGACCGGAUAGGUAACAGAACCGCAUGAUUUUGUUAUUAAAGGUUAAAAACACUGGUGGAUGGGCUUACGGUGCAUUAGCUAGUUGGUGAGGUAACGGCCCACCAAGGCGAUGAUGCAUAGCUGGUCUGAGAGGAUGAACAGCCACAUUGGGACUGAGACACGGCCCAGACUCCUACGGGAGGCAGCAGUAGGGAAUUUUCGGCAAUGGGGGAAACCCUGACCGAGCAACGCCGCGUGAGUGAAGAAGGUCUUCGGAUUGUAAAGCUCUGUUGUAAGGGAAGAAAUGUACUUUGAGAAAAAGUACUUGACGGUACCUUACCAGAUAGCUACGGCUAACUACGUGCCAGCAGCCGCGGUAAUACGUAGGUAGCGAGCGUUAUCCGGAAUUAUUGGGCGUAAAGGGUGCGUAGGCGGCCAUUUAAGUUCAUGGUGAAAGCGUGGGGCUCAACCCCAUAGAGCCAUGGAUACUGGAUGGCUGGAGUACUGGAGAGGGUAGUGGAA
rnacentral:rRNA from 1 species